rnacentral:rRNA from 1 species
UCCGACGGUGAGGGGCGAAUGCUGGGGGCGCAAACCGGAUUAGAUACCCGGGUAGUCCCAGCAGUAAACGAUGCCAGCUAUGUGUUGCUGGAACCAUGGGUUCCAGCAGUGCCGAAGGGAAGCCGUGAAGCUGGCCACCUGGGAAGUACGGUCGCAAGGCUGAAACUUAAAGGAAUUGGCGGGGGAGUACCACAACCGGUGGAGCCUGCGGUUUAAUUGGAUACAACGCCGGGAAUCUUACCGGAGGGGACAGCAGUAUGAAGGCCAGGCUAAAGACCUUGCCAGAUCAGCUGAGAGGAGGUGCAUGGCCGUCGCCAGUUCGUACCGUGAGGCAUCCUGUUUAGUCAGGCAACGAUCGAGACCCGCAGUCUUAUUUGCCAGUAUGCCCUUUGGGGUGUAUGGGUACAAUAAGACGACCGCCAGCGCUAAGCUGGAGGAAGGAGCGGGCUACGGUAGGUCAGCAUGCCCCGAAUCCUCCGGGAUACACGCGGGCUACAAUGGUCAGGACAAAAGGUACCGACCUCGAAAGAGUGAGGUAAUCCACAAACCUGAUCUCAGUCCGGAUCGAAGGCUGCAACUCGCCUUCGUGAAGAUGGAAUCGGUAGUAAUCGUGACUCAAAAUGUCACGGUGAAUAUGGCCCUGCUCCUUGCACACGACGGCCGU